GUGCGUUGCGCGUGCGACUUCCCUCCACGAUUGAUUUCCGUGGCUUUAGAGGACAGGACGUGUCUUGACUCCAAUGCCAAAAAAAGUUACAGAGGCCUCUACCUGGGAAUCAAGUUUGGGCUUAAUGGAAAGAACCAACCUCUUGUUUUUGAGUACCCUGCUGUGAUCACAUGAAGAAAAGGUGUUGCUUGCUAAAAUCAUCUAUGCUGAAAAGCAGUCUUAAUGUGCUAUGACUCAUCCCUCAUGUUAUAUAUUUCUUAAAAGGUUCAUUGAUAGUCACUGAUUGAAACAAUUUAACGGGGUGAAAGGAAAGAUGAUUGAGUAAUGACGCAAACAAGCCUAAAAUCCACAGGUUGUCCUAACAUUGAAGCUGAAACUCCAGUACUUUGGCCACCUCAUGCGAAGAGUUGAU